AGAGGAGAAAGAAACCGGCAAAGUCAGCCUUCACAUUUACAAAGUCUAUUGCACAGAGGCUUACGGAUGGUGGGGUGUGGUGUUAGUAUUGUCAUUGACUCUGAUGUGGCAAGCGUCUCAAAUGGCGGCUGAUUACUGGCUGUCUUAUGAAACUGCAGCAAAGCGUGCGGCGUCAUUCAAACCAUCUGUGUUUAUUAUCGUCUAUGCGCUCAUUGCAUGUGUCGCAUUCGUUGCGGUAUUGAUAAGAGCACUUGUUGUGAUGUUUGUGGGGCUUAAAACAGCUCAAACAUUUUUCAAGCAAAUUCUUCACAGCAUCCUGCAUGCUCCCAUGUCGUUUUUCGAUACUACACCUUCCGGAAGAAUUCUGAGUAGGGUACGUUUUUGUCAUACUUGAUGAGAUAUCUGUUAAGACUGUUAUUUGUUUACUCUAAUUUCAUGUAUAUGUAGUCCUAUUUAUUAACUGCUGAGAAUUUUUCUGUCCACCAGGCAUCAACUGAUCAGACGAAUAUCGAUCUACUUCUUCCCUUCAUGUUGGGUAUUACCAUUGUCAUGUUUUUUACUGUGUUUGGCAUCUUUAUCAUUGUUUGCCAAUAUUCGUGGCCCACUGUGUUCUUGCUGAUUCCGCUUGCUUGGCUUAAUGUCUGGUACCGGGUAUGUUCGUUCAUUUUGUCACGGUGUUAAUAUUUAUCAGUAACCUGUAACUAUAAUGUUGCACUCAAUACUGAAGAUUUUUGUACUUAUUUUGUUUUAGGGUUACUAUCUUGCAUCAUCUCGAGAGUUAACUCGACUCGAUUCAAUCACGAAAGCUCCUGUAAUCCAUCAUUUCUCAGAGAGCAUAUCUGGGGUCAUGACGAUUCGCUCUUUCAGAAUGCAAAACAUGUUCUCCAAGGAAAAUGUUAAACGAGUUAAUGCCAACUUGCGCAUGGAUUUCCACAACAAUGGUUCCAAUGAGUGGUUGGGUUUCCGAUUGGAGUUACUUGGGAGUUUACUUCUCUGCAUUUCCACUAUAUUCAUGAUCUUGUUGCCAAGCAGUAUUAUAAAGCCUGGUAUUUAAACCCUCCCGAUCCUUCUUGUUUUAGUGCAUUAUUAUUACAACAUCUGAUUGAGUCUCGGUUAUAAGCAAGAUUUGAGGUGUAUGUUAGCACCGUGUUUUGAUAUAUCUAACAUAACGAGCGACAGUAGACGAGUAUCUAUUGCAGAGAUUUCACUAAACUGAUUUUUCCUUUAUGGUGCAGAGAAUGUUGGUUUAACUCUCUCCUACGGAUUGUCCCUUAAUAGUGUGCUGUUCUGGGCUAUAUAUUUUAGCUGCUUCGUUGAAAAUAGGAUGGUGUCGGUUGAGAGGAUAAAACAGUUUACAAACAUUCCAUCAGAAGCAGCGUGGAAGAUUGUAGACCGUGUUCCUCCUCCAAAUUGGCCUUCCCGAGGCAACGUUGAGCUCAAAGACUUGCAGGUCAGUUUGUCUUCAGUUCUGUUUAUAACUUCAACGGUCUGAAUGCGCGUUUUCCUUAGUUGGUCAUCACCAUUACUUUGUCUCAAGCUGAAAGGGCUCGGUUCCUUUUGAUGAUAUUUUAUACUUUGUGGUGAGCAGGUCAGAUAUCGUCCAAAUACACCUUUGGUUCUCAAAGGCAUUAGUCUAAACAUUUUCGGGGGUGAGAAGAUUGGCGUUGUUGGUCGAACAGGAAGUGGGAAAUCCACUUUAAUCCAAGUGUUCUUUAGGCUGGUAGAACCUUCAGGAGGCAGAAUUAUCAUCGAUGGGAUCGAUAUAACCACGAUAGGGCUUCACGAUCUUAGGUCACGCUUUGGGAUCAUUCCUCAAGAACCUGUCCUUUUUGAAGGAACCGUGAGAAGCAACAUUGAUCCAAUUGGAAUGUAUUCAGAUGAACAGAUUUGGAAGGUAAACACAAUGCUACGUCGAAAAUAAUAAGAUUGAAUUGUACACAAUGUCUGUAUGUCAUAUUUUGCUUAGUUGAAACAAUGCUGUAUGCUAUUUGCAAUGAUCUUAAUUUUCUUGUAGAGCCUCGAACGCUGCCAACUUAAAGACGUGGUUGCUGCAAAACCAGAAAAACUUAACUGUUUAGGUAUGUGGCUCUCCGCAUUGUUUACUCUCCGCGUCUUGAAACUGACACUUGAUCACUACGGUUAUGUACUGACCAUUUUUCAUUAAAAUUUUAUCUCGAUAGUGGCUGACAACGGAGACAAUUGGAGCGUGGGGCAAAGACAACUCCUCUGCUUGGGGCGAGUUAUGUUAAAGCACAGCCGGCUCUUGUUCAUGGACGAGGCCACUGCAUCAGUGGAUUCACAGACCGAUGCUGUAAUACAAAGGAUCAUCCGGGAGGAUUUCGCUGCCUGUACAAUUAUCAGCAUUGCGCACAGAAUACCUACAGUGAUGGACUGCAAUCGAGUUUUAGUAGUAGAUGCAGGUAAGCGCUCCCUCUAACUUAAUAUCUUGUCACAUCCGGCAUUCGUUUACCACCUGAAAAUUGUAGCUGACACUCUUCUGUUUCCGUCUUUAACAGGACUGGCUAAGGAAUUUGAGAAACCAUCCCGCUUACUUGAAAAACCGUCACUGUUCGGUGCGUUGGUUCAGGAGUACGCCAACCGGUCAUCAGGACUAUAACCAGCAUUGGAAUUCUACAUCUCUCGUUUCCUCAUCAUCGUUGCUUCGGGCGGUGAUUCCAUUUACGCUUGCGAAUUAUCCAGAGAAUCACUGCUUGCAUCUGUCCUCGAAGAAUAGCAACAGCCGGAGCAUAAAAGGCGUCGGCUCUAAUCAUUUUUCUCCGAGAAAAUAAAACAAAUGAUGAACAACGAGAACAAGUGUAGCCUACCACUGCAGGAAGUAGCUAAUUUGAUAGGGUUACGAGCUUCAUUUAUGUAGCCUGUUUAGGAUGUAUUUGAUUAGAAAAUCAUGCUUAAACUUUCUUGUUGCACAAGAUUUAUCAAGAUGCUUCUUGAGAAAUUUAAUUACAUUGUUCCUGGAAAUUUCAGAUACUCAAAAUUUGUGGAUGCAGUCUCAUCAGUUUCCAGUUUCUACUUGGUUGGGUCCUUUUUGUUGGCAGGAUUAGGAUGAGUCUUUGUACGACGAAAAUGACACGUUUUAUAAAUGGGGUUUACUAAAAAUUGGAAAAAUUGAUCAAAUAUCGUGAGUUAACAUAAAUUUACGGUUUUGCGAAAACUUUGGCUGAUACUUUAUCGUAUACACACGAAGGAAGCAAAAUGUUGUAUGUUAUUUUGAAACAUUCAAUGUUGUAUAUUAUUUUGAAACAUUCUUAUUGUUUGUUUUAUUUUGUAAGUAUUUAAAAAAAAAUUAGGUUGAAAAAUAGAAAAAUCAAGAGAUAGAAAAUACUAGCAUGUCUUGGAAGUGGCUUUUGAGGGCCGAAAAAUAUCGAAAAUUUUCUAAAUGAUGCAACAAUGGUACGAAAUCGAUGUAUUUUGAAAAAAAUUUUAGAAUCAACUAAAAAUAAUGUGUGUUAGCUCGUAAAUUAUGUGAGAAAUACUACCGUUGAGUUUUUGCAAACUUUUUUGUGAGAACAUUAUAAAGAAAAAAAACUAAUGAAAAUGACUUAAAUUUUUUGAGUUUUAAUCAAAAUGACAAAAAUGUAUUGUAAGUGAAUAGUAGCAAGAGGGAUUUUUUAGAGUAAAAAUGUUAUUUUUCGUUAAAAUGAACAGUAUCAAGAGUGUUUCGUUAAAACUUCUAAAAAAAUGUUAUAAACAAUUUGGGAGCAACUUUUUCAUUUAUUUCAUAGAAUACUCUUUUCAACAUUAAUUAACUCUUUGUUUUAAAUAAAAAUAAAAUUUCAAGGCAAUAGGAGGUCAUUACAAAACGCAGCGUCUAACGUGAAUAAAAAAACGGAGCGUUUAGGUCAGAGUUAGCUUCGCUACUCUAAAACCCCGGGAAACAUAAACCCUUCAUCCCGCCGUAAAACAGAGACUCGCAGAGCGGCGGAGAGAGAGAUGGGAAGGUCUAGAAGAAAGUACAAGCAGUCGCGGACGAAGGUGCGCGUGGGGCUGCCGAAGAGGAAGCCCAACGUAUUCAAGCCCGCCUUCUGCCUCCCUCCGAAGCUCCGCGCCUUGCUGGCGCAGCAAGGGCCGGCCUCAGCCCCCCAAUGGGACGCCGAGGGCUCCGUCAUCCAAAACUACAAGUCCUUCGGCUUCGUCUCCAACCCUAACUUGCUCAGCCUCCGGUCUCGCAAUUCUCACAUGGUCGAGAGCGAUUCCCUCCAGGUCCCCCCUCCGGCCUCCGAUGACCCUGACGCCUCCGCAGAGCUCGAUUUCGCCGACGGCAGCGAUCUCGAAGAGGACGGUGAGUUCUCUCUCCCCCUCUCUCUCUACUCUGUUUUCGAAUUAGGAAUUGAGAAUUUAUGAUUGUUUUGCUAAAAUGAGUAAUUUGAGGUUCUAUAUUGAUUGAAUAACUGAUUGAAAUCAUAUUACAAAUGGAUUUAUUUGAAAGAAUGAAUUUUUAGGAUAAAGAUUUCUACUUGAGGUUGAGGAGGAGUAUUCGUGUUUCCGAAUUAGGAAUUGGUAAAUAAUCCAAACCGUCUACUGGGUUAUCAGAAUCCAAAAGUUCCUGGAAAAAUGGUUGUAGUAACCUUUAGAAUAGCAGGCUAACAACGGAGGUAAAAGAUUCAGAUGGAACCUGUAAUCUCAUGCCUAUUCUCCUCCAUAUUCAUUUUUCGAAGUUUUUCAUAUCCAAGCUGGAUUCGUCUGUGGAUUUCAGUUAUGUUGUGCUUUCUUGAAGUUCUUGCUCCAGAUCAGUAUUUGAGUAAGCUGAAUCUUGAUAAUCUAAUUGCUCAGAUACUUAUAUUUUAUAGGAUGGAAAUCACCGUAUUGAGUUAUCUUCGUCGUUUGCGUACUUCAGUUUCUUACUUUGAACGGCCUAUAAGCUCUAAAAGUUUGGCUUUGGUGGGAACCUCUUUAAGCUGGCUAGUUUGUUGGUUUACAAACUUCUACAAGGUCAUUCAUUGGUGCUGUAGUUGACUGCUGUAUAAAGACCCUUAGAAUGUAAUAAUGCUGUAGUUGACUGCUGUAUGAAGACCCUUAGAAUGUAAUAAUGUAGAGGCUUAACUGGAUUGCGAAGAUGGAGAUUUUUUGUUGUUCGCUCUAAGAAAUGAGCUGUGUUAGUUUGUGAAAACCAGUACUCGUAGAUCUACUGCUCUUUUGAAUUGCAUAUAGCAUUUGUUGCGGAGCUUCUUGGCUCUUUUAUUUUCUUCUCUCUCCAAAUUGGGAAACUGAAAUGUAGAUCAUUUCUGGAGUUCAUUGCUAUUUCUAAUCACACGACUUUCUUUGGCCAUGUAGAUUUGAAAACUAGUCUAGGGAAGAAACGUAGAGAUGGAAAAUCUGCACCACUACAACCAUUAACGGCCAUGCAGCGUCUUCAUCUUGGUCGGCUCAUUGAGGAGUAUGGCGAUGGCUAUCAGGUGUGGCACAAGCUCUUGUCAUGUCAGAAAUUUAAGUUCGUAAGGUCGCUUUCUUAUCCUUAAUGUGGGUUCUUGUUGCUUUUGCAGAGAAUGUUCAUGGAUACGAAACUAAAUAAAAUGCAGCAUUCUGUCGCAACUUUGGAGAAAUUAUGCAGACGGUAUCAUGUGCAUAAAGAUAGAAAUCCCUUGAUAUUGACCCGUUGAGGAAUAUGCUCGAUCUUACAUGGCGGGCGACCUCAUCAGCAUCCUUCCGGCAUGAAUGCCGCGUCACCCUACUACUAUAAUUUAAUGACAUACUCCGAGGGUCAAUUGAAACCUUUUGAGUUUCAGGCGACACAUUGAGACCAUAAUUGAGUUUCAUGGACUUAAAGUGAUUUUCGGAAGCAAAAAUGUAUAUUGUUGUGAUAUGGAUCGUCAAAAUAUCAAGGCCAAUUAGGUUUAAGUUUUCAAUUGGUGUUGGGAAAAGAGAAAAGGAAUGUGCACAGGUUUUUUUCCAUACAAUCGGGAAAUAGGUUCUUCUUUAUAAUCCCAAUCAGUUUAAGAUUAGGAAAUAAGUUAGUUUUUCCUAUUCUAAAAGGAUUCAGGAAUCCUAUACUUAUAAGUCAUGAAACCAUCGGUCUAUCUACUAAAAUAGGCUUGUUGGGGCUGAUUAUUCAAACGAACAGUAUAUAAAAUACAGGGGUAGAAAGCCAAGAGUGAUAGAGAGAUCUAAAGUGAGGUUUUGUUGUUUAGCAUAAGUUUUCAAUAAGUUCUUGUAACCGAGUUGCUAUUCUCCACAGUGCAGGUGAUUUCUCAAAAAAGAUCACAUGAGAAGUAGCCAAAGUUCGCCGAACCUGGCUAAAUUCUUUGUUUGUGUGUGGCGUGUGUACUUUAUUGUUCUUAUAUCCACAUAAAAUCAUCUUAUAAGUUUGCAUAUAUCAUAAACAAGAUUGAUUAAGGGAGAUUAAAUCAACAUUGCAAUGUUCUUGUACUCAUCUUUCAAGACCACAUUUAAGCUCAUUUCAAUAGUGUGAACUGUGAAGCUCCUCGUGCAUAAGUUCCUUCCAACCGUUAUGCUAAUUUGAAACCUCUUCGAGUUGGGGUUCGAAAGCAACUUGGAUUUCUUGGAGCACAAGCUGCAACUUCAGAACUAUAAAUGUACGUGUAAGAUGUUCCCAGCUAGCAGAAUCAAACACAUUCUUCCAGGGUGAGAUAGCCGUAUAAGUUGAUCCAUCGCUCCGGUGCCAUGCGCCAAGAACAUUACUCAACUUGAAAUGUAAUUAGGUGGGACAGAACUCCUCUAGCUUGUGUCCCAAGUAUGGUGGCCAUGGACGCAGCCACACGUGAAAAGGAAUAGCGUCUUCACGCAGUUCCACAAAUCAACGGCAUCCUUGAGUUUAGGCAAGACUACCGUACAUGGCUUCAAGAACACGAUGGGGCGGCAAAUUCUCCGAAUACUUCAAAAACUGAAGCAUUGGUUCGGGGUCCUUGGCCUGCCAAGUAUAUACAGCAGCAAUUCUCACUGCAGGUACCACAACCUCCGAAAGCAAUUGAACAUAAUUCCCCGGGUCUCCACGAAGAAAAGCUUUCCAAGACGAUAUGCGUCCAAGCCAUGCAUGGGAUUCCAAAGAGGAUCCCACCCCUGAAAUAAUAGAGCCGCUAUUUGGACUCUCUAAAUUCUGAUGUAGCUGGAUAUCAUAUACAGGUGGGCUGCAAAGUGAUCAAUAAAUAUGAUACAAAUAGCAUUACAAAUUAUAAUCGCGCCCUCGGAUACUUUAUAGCAAGGUUCAAGGAGCCAGGAUGCACUUGACCAUAAUCCAAAAAUGGAAAUUUACUUGAACCAAAUGUUUAAGUCCCAAAACUUUGAAGAACAUAAUGUUAUUCAAAAGCUACUUACAAGAAGCUAAACAUCCAGAAACAAGAAGUUAAUGGCUUUCCAAACUACAAAAUAGUUGGCGGGUUACAAAGCCCCAACCGCGGGGCAGCGACUAAGCACCAAUGAAUGCCCGGCACUGGGAUUCCCAGUGCUGCUUUGCUUGCCGAACCCUCUCUACCCUCUCGGUCUGGAGUCUCUGCUCCCAGUAUUCACGGCAGCUGUUAAAACAUGAAUAAAUAAGAAUGAGAAAUUGCAUGUAUAGGAUGAUCAUUUACUCAUAAGGAUUCUUAGUGAGAAUAUGCUGAGCAAAAGCAUACUUUCGGCUAAGUAACAUGUUAAGCUCUUCUAAAUGCACCGCGCCUUCAAAAACUCUUGCCUGAAAUCAACACGAACAAUCACAAAACAGUGAGCAACAAUAAUUUUGAUUGUAGCGAUGCAGCUCAUUCUCCAGGUCCUAAAAGAUUACAGCUCUACAAAACUCCAAUUAGAAAGAAGUUAAUUACUCACCUCUCGGCAUAGAGGGCAUUUUUCUUUAGGCUCUGCAGACUUUAAUCCAUCAACAAUAGUCACUGAUGCAGCCGAGCAAGCACACAUGUAGCAGAAUAUAUGACCGCACGUAAGAGCAACUGGAUCAAAAACUGUGUCCUAUAAAGCGGAAGAUAAAAAUAAAUCACACGAAACCUCAAAUGAAGCGCAACAAUAGCAAGAUGCUUUCUUCCCAACAACUCCUACCAAUGUCUUGGUAUGCUACACUACAGCUACUGAAGGUUUAUGUUUUAGUUGAGCUAAUGAAAAUUGUUCACAUUGUUUGCAGUUUGCAGGAAAAAAUGUCAAGUGUUAUGCACUAGUCAUAUGUGCUCCUACAUCAUAAGAGGCAUGAAAUAUGCAAUUAAACUAUUGAAGAGCGAGAGUGAUAUUGUAAGAGUGCUACAACUUUCAUAUCAAUUUUCAAAACCUCUUAUUCAAGACUUGAAUUCACAGGUAGGAUAAAACGCUGUGUAGUGUUAACAUAGUAACAACACAAAUACGCAGUCAAUAACCCGUUAUAUGGAAACCUUGAUACUUACCAAGCAUAUAGAACAAGUCAAAUCAAUAUCAAGCUUAACGGAAUCAAAGAGCUCACAGGCGAGAGAUGGUUUCUCAUCAUUAAUCUUGAGGGAGCAUCCCUCAAACAAAGCCGGUGCCUUCCUCGACUUAGUCUCGGUUUCCCUUAAAUUGAUGUGAAAAGCCAUAAGCUCGAAAAGCCAUGGGCUCUGAAGGAGUCCAAUGUGCAUACUUUGAGCUUGCGACUUAAAUGCCUGUCCUUGUGUUGAGUAAUGAAUCUGUUCCCAUAACACAAACGAAAAUUAUAAACAUAUAUAUUUAACUGGAUUACCGAAACUUUCGAUAAACGCACUACCAAUUUUGAGCAGUUGGAUUCACAUACCUUAUCAUAUUUCUUUAGUAUUUUCCGAAUGGCAAUGGCGUUGAUCAGUGCAUAAGUCACGAGGUCCUUGCCUUCUUCUAUCAAGGCACCAUGGCCCCCUCGACGUUUGCCUUGGACCCAAAACAUGUACUUACGCAAGCCAGAAGCCAGAUGGAGUUCAAGCAAUGUCUGUGCACGCUUAUGAAAGAAACCCACCACAGCAGACAUCUCAUCGAGAAGGGCCGGGAAAAAGCUCCCAUCACACACUGCCAAAAUUCAAUUAAAUCAGCAUAAACUCCAUUGCCAGGCACAAAAAUCAAUAUCACUGAGGAUUCAGUAACCUUCAAAAUUAGAAGAUAAAACAGGUUCCAUGUGCUUUGAAAAUCGGCUACUUUUUCCUACAAAGACAAUAUUCUAAACUUACUCUAGUUUUCGAGAUAAAAAUUCGAACUUAGAUGAUGGGGUGGGCACGUUGUCCUAACCAAGUGACCUAAUUCACGUCUGACUGGCUAAAAUUUUUAAUUGUUGUGACUUGUAUAUACUCUCCAACAUUUGGAUUUUCAAACAAUUGAAUGAAAUGAAUGCAAGAUGUUGACUUUCCAUCUCAAAGAUUUCCAAUGAAAUUAACAAUAUAUAUACACUAUAUAUAUAUCCGACAUGAACAAUAAACUGAAUGCUAAUUGGGAUUCAAACAGCCAAAAGAACUAGCAAAUUAAGUUAAAAUUUUUAAUCAUAACAAUCAUCAGAAACAGAUUAAAAACCAAAAAUAAGAAAUAAAAAUCUGUAACUGAAAUUUAAAAUCACCUGUGCAAUGGUCAGGGCAAGUACGGACGUCAUGGAAAUCUUCUCUGCGGCAUUUCUUCAAGAUCUUCUUAAGCUUCUUGAAUCCAACCCCGGGCUGCUUCUUCUUCUGGCCUUGCAUGUACUCCUGGUAUGUCUUGCAGAACUUCAUUUUUCAUCAAUAUUUAACCCAAAUCCUUCGACUUCAAUUAAAUUCACUGGAUAUCAGAGAUGGGCUGCGAUUGAAAUACCAAAAAAAUCAAAUCUUUAACGCUAAUCACUGAUUAGAUAUAUAGUUUAAUCAUCUGCUGAUGUCUGUGUAUAAAGGGAUGUGUAACGGUUUCUCUCUCUCUCUUCUCUGUCUACCGGGUCUACGCGCUUGAAGAAGACAUAUAUAAAGGAAGAAGACAUAUAAAGGAAGAAGAGGACAACAUAUGGUAUCGGAUAAUACUGAGGUGCUGAUUUUGCAGAGAAAAAGUCAAGGAUUGUUCCGGAAAAGUUCUUCUUUUUUGUUGGAGGAUUUCUCGGGAACUUUAAAAGCGGAUUUGAAAACGUUUUCUUUUGGGGUAAAUCCAGAUUGGAAGACAUUUCCAAAUGGAGAGUGAUACUAAAUAGAAAACUUGUUUAUGUUCCAGUUGUCACUGAUGGGAGACUUCACAUUUUUCUUUGUUUUUCUUGGUUGAUUAGUGGCCGAGAAAGUGACACUAAUAUUAGGUGAGAUGUCCAAAAGAAAUCAUCUACAUCCUCCUUUUACCUUGAAGAGAGAAAUUAUUUAGCUAAUAUGUGAGUGUAAAUUCAUCCGAAAAAGUUAUCAUUCACUAAAAGUAGAAAAAUAAUAAGUGCAUAAUGAUUUAUUUGAAUUAUGCUGAUAAUUUAUAUUAUUAAGGUUGUGUUUGGUAAAUUAUCUAUUAAAAUGUGGGUCGAUAACCUAUUAUAAAGGUUUUGUCAUGUUAAAAUUGAGAUCAAAUAGGAGUCUAAAAUUGAGAUCAAAUAGGAGUCGAUUAAAGCACCACCCUUAUCUCAACUGACAUUUUGACUAUGAAUAACAUAUUAUAGAGCAUCUUUAAAGAAAGAUGUUAAAUAUGUCAACUUUGGAUUUAUAGACAUUAAGACUUUCUCCAAGGAAGAUAUCAUAGUUGACAUGAUAGCCGAGUUAUUUGGCACUUUGCUUUCUAGCAAUCUUUUUAUACAGCAAACUAAGAUAGAGUCGAUUUUGUUAUUUAAUAUGUGGGGUUUCAUAAUUCAUCAAUAUGAUAUACAAUUAACUAUUCUAAACUUUUUCUUUUUUUUUAAGUUGUAGUAGUGUGGUCCAAUAUAGAAUAAAUUAAGCCGAGUUUGGUAGCGAAGACUUGUAACUAAGUAGAGCAUUAAAGCAAUUAAUAGGUGAUUUGAGCCUUGUCAAGUGAGGCAUGGUGUUUGAAAGUUGUUCACCACUAUUGUGAAGUCACUUUAAGCACGUCCUAAGUCUCUCUAGUUAAUAGGGACACCCCACCCUCACGAGUGGGGUAGCAAAUAAACAAACACACAAUAUAUAAAUAAUAAUUUAACACAUCAUUUGGAAUAAUUUUUUUUUUUUACAUCAACAUCAAAUAGCCACAUCAUUCAUAAAAUAAAAUUUUAACAUUUAUAUUUGACAUCUUGGAACUUUCAUGUCACAUCAUGUUUACAUAGGAUCGUGUGGAUUUGAAAAACCAAGUAUCAUGUGAACUUGCCAGCUACCAAAGAAGAUAAAGGGGAAAGCAAAUUGAGUGUCUUGACAUCCAACUAUCUCCAUUAGUUUUCGUUGGCAUGCAAAUAAAUCUUAUGCAUGGUUUCAAUGUGAAAAUCUUAUCAUUAUUUGUACCAUUUUUUUAAUAAAGAUGAAACUCAUAUACGUUGGUCGACUUUAUCUCUAUUAGAGAGAUGAUACAAAUAUGUAGUAAGUGUAACAUUACUCAAUGCCUUGGGGAUGUUGUAUCUCGUAGAAACACUCAUUUAAUAAAACUUUAGCUUUAGCCCGUCAUGACCAAUAAACCACUAAUUUCACCUGGUUGAUAGAAAUGUAAAGGCUACUCAAUGCCUUGAGGAGGUUGUACCUCGUAGAAACACUCAUUUAAUGAAACUUUAGCUUUAGCUAAAAGUGUAAAUGUAAAUGCAUUACUCAAUGCCUUUAGGAAGUUGUACCUUCUAGAAACACUCAUUUAAUGAAACUACCCAACUAUUUUUUACCAUUGUGGUAAAAUGUUACUUGCGUCUUAUAACACAAGUUGAUUAGUUAAGUUACGUGAAAAAUAGCAGUAAGAGCCGACUGUUUUGUUACGUGUAAAACUGGCACGCGACACUAGUAUAUGGCCCCGGCCGGUCUUGAAGAAGAAGAAAGUGUUUUUUCCACUUCAUUGCUUAAUUUGCUUGCUUGUGAUCUACGAAAGUUGAGUCCUCCAACUCCACGUCUUUCUCUCAAACCAUUCUAUAUGUAUCCAUAUGAUUUAUAAAUCACAUGCGUUGUGGAGAAUACCAUGAAUAAGAACUUUAAGAUAUAUGUAGAAAAAAUGUGUGAAAACGUAUGAAGCCUAUUGGAAGUGAAGUUUAUAACGUAUGUGCUGUUCGCGUUACCUUUAGACUGGCUCUGAUUUAGUCCAACCCUAGAAACCCACUUGAGUUAAUAUAUAGCAGUGCGAUGCAUGCGCCCUUUGAUUUUAGGAUGAAAAAAUAUAUUUUGCCACCAAGUUGUUUCCCAUCUGUAUGGUACAUGCGCAUAUGCAAGUCAUGCCGGCCUCUAGGUCUAGUAAACGAUAAGGUUCUUAACCGGUGAUUCAACAAUGAUCAGAUUCGCUAAUGAACUCUAAUGGGUGAUCCAAUGAUGAUCCGACUCGUUAAAAGUGUGACCCAAAACCUAUUAUUUUCGUGUUAGCUUAACAGAUCAUGCAAAAAGUUGUCAGACCUACAUAUGAUGGCAUGUUGAAUGAAGAUGGUGAUUAUCUCCGUAUGUGGUACCUUUUCUACUGCUGGAACCCGAAAGCUAACUUUCUUCGUCUAAAAUCUAUGCAAACUCUUACUAUGGUUGCUAUAUAUAUAUAUAUUCUUGAAGGGGGAGAAAAGACUGCGUAGAACUCCUGGUGAAAACAUUAAUCUUCCACUUGAGCAUUUGUUAUUCGGUAAAUUUUGCAGCACUUUUACAUUGGAAGGCUCAGCAGUAAUGAUUUCAGGAUAUUAUCUUUUUGUUUUAGUCUUUCUAUUGAUCACUUCUAUAUACAAACGAAUAUAAGUUCUCUGUAUAGAACUUCCAAUUUGUAAAACUACUAAAUCCUUGUUUUCAAGUCAGCUGAUUGUGGGACUUUCUGAUUAAGAUGAUUUUCUUUUAUUAAUUUUCUUUCAGGGCAUAUAUUUCUGCGGUGAGAAGAUUGUCUCCUUCAGUCUCACAGGAACUUGAGGACUGGUUAAAAUAUGAUACAUGUUCAAUAAUGAUUUAUCUCAAAUUAUUACUUUAGUCUAAAGAAGACUCUUCAAUUGCACCGUACAAAUAAAUAGUCUUUUGAACCGAAUUUCACUUUAUUUAUGAGGCUCUGCCCUUGAUCUUCAUGCUGCUUGUCUAUUCUAAAGUAGAAGAGGGGAGACAUUGUUCAAAAUUUUUUUAUUUUGCUUUGUUUACAACAAAGCCAUGGGAUUUGGGGCUGGGUUGGAAGGUAGUUAUUAAAAUUUAGGAAGGUAAUUUUGUCUCUUGAGGUCAAUUCCUCCCCCCUCGAUUUUGCUUUAUUUACAACAAAACCAUGGGAUUCCGGGGUGGGUUGGAACGUAGUUAUUCAAAGUUAGGGGGGUAAUUUUGUCUCUAAACAUAUUUUGCAUUAUUUAUAUUUAUGCCACCUCAAACCAAGGGAUGUGAGAGAGAGACACAAACACACCCAUUUGGCUUCGGUUCCCCUUUCUCAAACCCUAGCAGAGCCGCAACACCAUCUAUGGGAUGUGAGAGAGACAAAAACACACCCAUUUGGCUUCGGUUCCCCUUUCUCAAACCCUAGCAGAGCCACAACACCAUCUCUGGGAUGUGAGAGAGAGACACAAACACACCCAUUUGGCUUCGGUUCCCCUUUCUCAAACCCUAGCAUAGCCACAACACCAUCUCUGGAAUAGCAUCGGCUUCCUGCUUCCUAAAACCAAAACCACUCAAACUGGCCUUCAUUUUUCUGUAACUCGAGCGCUUCGGUGAAAUGGAGGAGAGGAGCAGGGAGAUUGGCUCGAGUCGGCGAACGGCGGAAGAGAUCUUCAGGGAUUACAGUGGUCGGAGAACCGACGCCGUCCACGCUUUAACUAACGGUACUCCGAUCUCUCUUUGUUCUCCGUUUCUCUCUCUUAAUUUCCUUUUGGUUUUGGAAAUUUCUGACCUUUUGGGUGAUGUUGUUUUCUCAUUUGAACAGAGAGAGAGAGGUCGAUGUCGUCAGAGGCAUGGUUCACAGAGGGGUUGAUGGGUUGCAGGUAGAGAGGGGGUUGACGGGAGGGGUUCUAGGUGGACACAGAGAGAGAGAUAGAUCGUCCAAAUUUUCUCUACUUGGAUGAUUGCGGAAGAUCAGGUUUGAUAAUUUUCGCACUUUCUUGAAUCGAUUCAGUGAGUUUUUUUUAUAAAUUACUUAGUUUUGGGUUUGAAUCUUUAUCUAGAAAUCCAAAACGAAAAAACUAUGCUCUGCAACACGAUUGACGAUUUUGAUGUCGGCUUCGUGAGAUCUCUUCGAUCUUUGCUUCCCCAUCUGUUUGAUCUCCUCGACGCCCCAUCGUGCUCCCAAUUUCUGUAAAUUUGGGGUUUCUUCGGGCAUAAUGUUAUCAAACUCUGUUACUUAUUGGAUGUGAAGAUCUAAUUCAAUUUGGUGAUUAAUAUAAUUAGAUUGUAUUAAAAUUUUCAUGAUUUUGUAGAAUUUUACGUUUAAAUUUGUGGGUUUUGGAGAAUUCUUCAUUAAAUUUCUGGGUUCUUUUGAUGUGAGAUUUAGUUAAUUUUUGUAGCUUUUGUAAAAUCCUUCGAUUAUUUUUUUUUGUUUUGUUCUCUUUUCGUAUUAGCAAGUUAUGGAACCAACUAAGAUCAAUUAACUUAUAACUGAUUCUUCUCUCUUCAGGUUCAUGGAUUGUCAAGCAGAGUGGGAAAGAAAGGGUGCCUCACUGGUUAGGCACUUGAAAUCAAUUAUUUCCAUGGGAAGAACUACUUGGAGGUAAAGUUGAAGAAAUAAUUAUUAAAGUACAUUAAAAAUUGUAACUUGCGUUUUGAUAUUCUAUUACUCCACAUGCACUUGAAAUCAAUUAUUUCCAUUGGAAGAACUACUUGGAGGUAAAGUUGAAGAAAUAAUUAUUAAAGUACAUUAAAAAUUGUAACUUGCGUUUUGAUAUUCUAUUACUCCACGUGCUAUUCCGCUUGGACAUUGAAUGAUGGAGGAACUGGUUUCUUUUUUACUUGGGGCGUGUGCAGGGGAUGAGAUUUAAAUGUGUGCCUCUCAUGAAUUGCAUUAACAUAACUUGGAUAUGAAAGUAUAAGACAGCAUGAAUCAUAUGUUAUUUUCUUAUUUGGAUACAUUAUGUGAAUUAUUGCUUCUUUAGAAAAGAUUAAGGAAGGUGAGUUCAUCAUGGGAUUUAAGUUUUAACAAUACAACUUCUUAAAAUUGAGUAAAUGCUCGCAUUUGAUAGAACUUUGAAGAUGGAUUUUCAGGUUCAAAUUUUGGUUGUGUAUUGGUACUGUGGAGUUUUUUACUUUUAUUUUAUUUGGAUGUAUGGUUGGGAAUGAGAUAUCUGAAAAUUUUGGAGAAAAAUUAGUGGCUAUUGUUUACUUGCAAAGUCCGUAACUUUCUUUUAGCUUUUGCAGUACGUUUGGGAGCAAGCUAAAAAUGAUAUCAUUGAGCACAAGACAAGAAUAAGCCUCCAUUUCCAUCUCAUAAAAGCAGCAGAAGAAAAUUAAACAAGUAUUUUCAUACAGCUGGAGGCUGUAAGUUGUUUAUGUUUUUCCAGUUAAAACUUAUUUGAUAAUAUUUUGUUUUUCUGGUGAAUUCUGAAUUACUGAGAGACAAUUACUCAUGUGUUACAGGUGGUCACUGCCUGACAUCAAAGACUACUUAGAAGAGGCAGCCUUUAAGUCCGUUCAUUUUUUAAUGCGCAAGAUGCAAGACAACAGAAAAAUCCGAAGAACAGAGGAGUUUACUAUCGGCCGGGACAUAAAAUAUAAAGAGAUGAAACGUUUUCAUCAACAUGAUUCUUGGAAAUAAAAAGUGUGCUUAUGUUUUUGUCACAGAUCCUGAAGAAAACUAUAAAUCUGCAUGCAUCUGCAUCUUCAGAGAAUUCUAACUGUUGUUCUGGUGAGAAAAUAAUCUCAAAACAUAUGAUGUGAAGUGGACUUGGCUGAUAAUUCAUUUUGAUUAUGUAUAUGCAGAAUUAGUAGCUGAGAAAAUAGAAUGGGUAGUAUACAAAUGGAUUUGAUUUGAUUCUUGGAGCUGACAUAUAUAUCCACAAUUGUUAAUUUUUACCAUGGUUAGGCAGCAUGACUAUAUUAUUUGCUACUAACUGAGAGAGUGCACCUGCAAUUCAAGUCCUUAACGUGUUCUUUAUUUUUUAUAUUUUAUUGAAAAUCAUUACACAGCAUUGGUGGGCGAUGGUGGUGGGUACCUGAUAUGGUACCUCUGGCUCUCUUCUUCACUGCAACAAUUUGCCAGAAAGGUAAGUCGAAAUUGUGAUGCAUAAUUUUCCUUUCAUUUUUUAAUUAAUUUAUGAAUAUACUUUCAUCAUAAUGUAUUUACUUCUUGGGCAGUGCAGCCUUUACAGGAUGGGAUACAUCCAUUCUUUUCCCUGGUACAGGUAUGGACCUCUGUUAAAUUUGAUUUUCCUAAGCAUUUUCUUUUAUUUGUGAUGCAUAAUUUUCCUUUCAUUUUUUAAUUAAUUUAUGAAUAUACUUUCAUCAUAAUGUAUUUGCUUCUUGGGCAGUGCAGCCUUUACAGGAUGGGAUACAUCCAUUCUUUUCCCUGGUACAGGUAUGGACCUCUGUUAAAUUUGAUUUUCCUAAGCAUUUUCUUUUAUUUAAGGUCAAAAUUAUUUAUGAGUCAUAUUUAUCGUUGUCAUGCAUAGAAAAAUGUUGUAAUUAUUUCUCUCUCUCUCUCUCUCUCUCACAAAAUUAGUAUAUUUGAAGUCAGUAAUUGACUAAAUCAUUUUUAUUUUGUUUGAAUGCAAAUGUCUACUUGUUAGUUCAUUUAUGAUAUUUAUUGUGAGUGUUAAACUAUUAUUCUCAUAAUUAUUUGAAUUAUGUUUCUUACCAUAGUAACUAAAUAAUUUAAAAAAUCUAAACAGGAAUUAGUAUGCAGUUUGUUGAAUCCGAGUGAUAUUUAUAUAUGCCCUCAUUUCAUCUGAAAAACGGCUUUUAUGCUUGGUGACAAUGUGUUUUUCAGUUUGCUGCAGCCAACGUCAAAUUCUAUCUAAUUGGGGAAAAGGUCCAACAGAUUUCCACUUGAUCCAUCAAGCACAUGAUAAAGCUUUCAAAAUUUCUGUAAGUAAUUCUUUUGUUCAUUUGAUUUUCUUUGAUGGGACAUUGAAUUUAUUGCGUGGAAAUUGGGUUUCAUCUGAAUCUGAAAAAUCUGAAUGUUUAGGGUUUUUGUUUGCUGAUUAUUGUUUGUUUUAUCUGUAUUUUUUUAGUUAUAUUUAAUUUAUGUUUAUAUGGCAAGUGCCUUCGCCCAUGAGCGGUAGGUCUCGGGUUCGAGACUUGGGAGCAGCCUCUCCAUAAAUCGGGGUAAGGCUAGCCGACAUUCACCUCUCCCAGACCCUGCGUAAAGCGGGAGCCUGUGCACUGGGUACGACCUUUUUUUUUUUUUUUUUUUUUUUUGAGAAGAAACAAAACAUUUUAUAGAAGAAAAGAGAAAUACACUGGAGUGGAUAAGAAAUCCACCAUUAACAAGAAACAAGAAAAAACUCUCACUAGGAUUUGGCUACAGCAUCAUUAGCUAGACCUAACUCACUUUACUGCUGCUAACAAAUCCCACAGUAAUUGAGAAAUAGAGUAGUUAUUAAAAACAUUUGAGACUGAAGCCCAAAGAGCUGCCCAAUAUUUUACUCUUCCCCAAAGUACUUCUACCCCCACACCUGUAUAAUCCUCAAAAAUUCUUUUGUUACGCUCCAGCCAAAUGUUCCAAAAAACUGCCGAGACCAGACAACCCCACAAAGCUUUAGCUUUCCUCCCACUUCCUAGGGCCUGAAACUUGGUGCUUAGAAGCUCGAAACAACCCUUUGGAAUGACCCAACUAGCUCUAACCUCCUGAAACAGUUUCCACCACACAGCUGAAUCGUGUAAGAGCAAUGGAGAAAAAUGUGGUUUACACUCUCCUCCUUUGCUUUGCACAAACUGCACCAUUGUGGGGAUAAGCAAAUAAAAGGGCUUCUCCUUUGAAUUUGGUCACAAGUGUUGAGCUUCCCUUUGGCCGCCAGCCAUACAAGAAUCUUAACCUUCGGAGGAACUUUGGACUUCCAAAUCUGUGAAUGGGGUUGGAAGUAUUGCAUCAUCCCAUUGUUACUCAAGAAGGAACAAUAGGAUUUGCAUGUGAACAAUCCUGAUGCUUCCAUUUUCCACCUUCUGUUAUCCAUUCUUGAUUGAGACAAUCGGACCUCUUCCACUUUCUGUAAUAAUCUAGCCGCCUCUUCUAUCUCCGCCUCAUUCAAAUUUCUCCUGAAAUCAAAAUUCCAACUUAAAGAAUUGGUAGAAAGAUCUACAAAGCUUGAAAUGUUCUGAUUGUGCUUCCUCGAUAGCAAGAAUAAUCUAGGAAAUUGCUCUUUCAAUGGUCCUCCAUCUAACCACCCAUCCUCCCAAAACCUCACCCUCUCCCCGUUGCCCACCUCGAACUUACAGCAGUGAAGAAACAAUUGGGAACCAAUCGAUAUAUCUUUCCAUGGGCUACGGCUUGAACCCCUUAUCGAAGGAAAUGCGUUCCAUCCGUUAUCCUGUAGCCCAUAUUUGCUUCUUAUCACUUUGUGCCAGAGAGAAUGAGGUUCCUUUGGGAAUCUCCACAACCACUUAGCAAGUAAUGCUUCAUUUCCGAUUCCUCAAAUUCCCCACCCCUAAACCUCCUUCCUCUUUACUUUUAAUAACUAUCUCCCAUUUUACCAGGUUGUUUUUUCUUUCCUUCCUCCACACCUUCCCACAAAAAUCCUUUCAUUAGUUUUUCUAGGCGUCCAAUCACCCCGCAAGGCAUUUUGAACAGAGACAUGUAGUAGGUCGGCAAGCUUCCCAAAACAGAUUGAAUCAGAGUUAAUCUACCUCCUCUGGAUAAGAAGGCCUUCUUCCAACUUUGAAGUCUUUUUUCCAUCUUAUCUACCACUGGAUCCCAAAACUUGAGUGCUCUUGGCCUACCCCAGAGGGAGUCCAAAUACUUUAUAGGCCAGCUACCUACCUCACAACCCCAAGAAUCCGCCAACCUAUUUAAUUUCUCACAAUCUGAAUUUAUUCCAGCCAAAUAACACUUAGCUUUGUUGAUUUUCAACCCUGAAACAGAACAGAAUAAUUUGAGCAGCUCUAAUAGAUUGUUCCAACCUCCCUCAUCUUCCGCCAAGAAAAAAAUGGUAUCAUCUGCAAAUUGAAGAUGAGAAAUCUCCACCUUUUCUUGCCCAAUACAUAACCCUUUGAUGAGAUGAUUUUCUUGAGCCUUCUCCAUUAACCUACUCAAAACAUCGACUACUAAGGUAAAAAGAAAAGGUGACAGUGGAUCACCUUGUCUCAAACCUCUUGAAGCUUGAAAUUUUCCCCUAGGCCUCCCGUUAAUCAAAACAGAAAAAUUUGCGGAACUUAAGCAUCCCUGCAUCCAUUUCCUCCAUCUGUUGCCAAAGCUUUUUCUUUGUAAGACUUCGUCCAAAAGGUAUCUUUAAGGUUUAAUACAAUAGAUGAGUGGGUAAGGUUUCUCAACUUCUAAAUUGUUUUGUUAUCAAUGUGCAGCACCAAUGCUCACAAAGUCCUAAACUAAUCUUAUUAAUUUAAGGAGUUGGCAUACCACUUACAAAAUGAUGGACUCCUAACCCGUCUCCCCCUACCAUUUUCUGCCGUCCAUUAGGUCCUGUAGCAGAAUUAAAUUUUUGUUUUGAAGUGUAUGCCAUUUUGGAUAAUUUGGGAUUGAUUUUGAGCACGUUGUUAAGAUUAUUAAUUACACUUUUUCAUGAUAAUUUAGAUGAAAAAAAAAUGCUGAAUUUGGGGGCAUGGGGGAGUGGGAAUGCAGAUAUAGAAUUAUGGGUUGAGUAUGCUGAAUACGGGGGUAUGGGAGAGUGGGAAUUGCAGAGAUAGAGUGAGGGAGGGAUGGGGUUGGUUGGGAAUUGCAGAGAGAGUGAGGGAGGGAUGAGGUUGGUUUUGAAAGAUUUACUCCACCUAGGAUUGUUCCUGUAAGAUUUCGACAGCGUUGUCUCUCUAAAAUUUGUACCCUUUUCUGGCGUUUGUAGGGUUUAGGUUUCAUCAGAUGGUGUUUGUAAUGUUUAUACUGAACUAUCGACUCUUUUAUUCUUUGUAGGUGAAAUUGAAGGUCAGUAGAUCUCUUAAAUUGAUGAGGGGGCUACAAUUCGUACAAGGAAACUAGCCAGAGAUAUGCUAUUUUGGAAGAGAAUAGAUAAAGAGAUGGUAUCCUUCUCUUCUCCUCUGGAAAUGCAUUGAGUACAAGAAGUAUAUGCAUGAAAAUAUCAAAAUGCAUGUCUUUUUAUCCUAUUGAUCUUAAAUUUAGUCCUCUCAUGAUGUGUAGUAGACCUCAAAUACAUAUUUUGAAAUAUUCAUGUCUAAAGUUCUGUUCAUCUUCUGUUUUGGGUUUUUUCCUAUUUUAGGCCAAAUAAAAAAAUUAUUAUGAAGUGUGGAUGGUCAUUUAGAAUUUUGGUGAUAUUGAGAGUUGAUGAAGUAGGUGAUGAAGGAGGAGGGGACGGAGAAGGUGAAGGUAUUGAUGGAGAAGGUUAUGAAAUUGGUGAAUUUAAGUCUGAAGGCACUAUUGAAUGUUUUCAAAAAGUCUGAAGGCACUAUUAUUUUUCUAUUGGACUAGUCUUUUGGGUUGGGCUCUUCCCUUGGGCUUGAGUACCUAACAUUGGUAUCAGAGCCUAGGUGCCCGACGCUGCGGGUCUUGGUUACGUGACGUGCCGCCUCGUGAUUACCGCCUUGGGAGUAUGGGCUCCAAGGGACUUGGAGACGAGGGAUUGGGCGACGUGAUUACCACUGUGGGCGUCGGGUCUUCCAAAGGGUGGUGUAAUGUUAUGAUCCCACAUUGACUACACUUAUGGGAGUGUAGGGGUUCUUAAAUCCUUGGGGUCCUCCCACCUAUUGGACUAGUCUUUGGGGUCCUCAAUUUCAGCCAUCAGAUCAAAUGACUUGAAGAAGAUCUAAGGACAGAAAUUAACAAUGAGUGUUAACAAUGAGUGUGUGGACAGCACCACCCCGACUCUUAACAUAUCUUUUUUAGUUUUCAAACACCUCAAUUUUAGCCGUCAAAUUAAAUGACUUGAAAAUUAACAAUGAGUGUGAAUAGCACCACUCUACUCUAAAAUAUCUAUUUUUAGUUUUCACACACCUCCUCAAUGAGUGUGGAUAGUACCACCCUACUCUAAAAUAUAUUUUUAGUUUUCACUCCUCUUCAAUCAGUUGGAUCAAAUGACUGAAAAAAGAUCUAAGGACAGAAAUUAACAAUAAGUGUGUGGAUAGCACCACCCUACUCUAACAUAUCUUUUUUAGUUUUCACACCUCCUCAAUUUUAGUCGUCGGAUCAAAUGAUUUCAAGAAGAUCUAAGGACAGAAAUUAACAAUGAGUGUGGAUAGCAACACCCUACUCUAAAAUAUCUUUUUUUAAUUUUCACACACCUCAAUGAGUGUGAGUAACACCACCGUACUCUAAAAUAUCUUUUUUAGUUUUCACACCUCUUCAAUUUCAGUAGUCGGAUCAAAUUACUUAAAGAAGAUCUAAGGACAGAAAUUAACAAUGAGUGUGGAUAUUACCACCCUACUCUUAAAUAUAUUUUUUGGUUUUCACACACCUCUUCAAUUUCAACUGUCAGAUCAAACGACUUGAAGAAAAUCUAAGGGUAAAAAUUAACAAUAAGUUUGUGGAUAACACCACUCUACUUUAAAAUAUAUUUUUCAGUCCAUUCCAAACGUCACAUCACUCCCUCCUCUCCCAGCUACCCUAUGCAGAAAUAAAAAAUGAGGGAGUAGAAUUCUCUCCCCUCUUUUUUUUCCCUCCCCUCAUAUUUGAACGGUCACAGUUAAGUCAUGUCAACAUCUUAUAUUAAUGUUUUUAAAAAGUGAAAGACAAAAUAGAGAAUAUGAGAGGAGGGGAGAGAAUCUUAAUCCAAAAAUGAGGGCAUUUCGGUUCGCGGGCAGCAUUAGACAACUUUUCAAGAAGUUGACGGGAGCCAGAGCAGGCGAUGCCUCAGCUGUGGUCGAAGAACCAAAUGUCAAGGUGGAGUACGAUAUUUCCUCGUCCCACCCCAAACACAUCAUCUGAUUUUGCGUCCACCCAGAGAACUAACAGAGAGCUAGGAAAAUAAUGGCUGCUAACCCCCCAGGAUUGUGGAUUGGCUUUCCCAUGUCAACAUCAUCGCCGCCAAUGCAGAUCUCGUCUGGAAAUUCGGUCGAGCACUAUUUGAGGCUAAGGAGAGUGGUUUGAAAGAAGUUUUAAGGGUGAAACCUGUUGCUUCAGCCUGCAGACUCAGAAGCACCUUGCUUCCUUGGUUCCCCAAUCCGGUGAGAACACAACUCGUAUUAAGUACUUGGAAUUGGUCGCAAACCAUUUCGCGAAACAUGGACUCAUAAAGGGGUCUCCUCCUCUCCGUUCUCUAGUACCAUCGAAGGAGGAGGCAAACGGCGGAGGCAAAAGGAACGGGAAAGGGAACGGAAAUGACAACGGGAAAGGGAACAGGAACGGGAACGACAACGAGAAAGGGAACAGGAAAGGGAAAGGCAACGGCAACGGGAACGGCAACGAGAAAGGGAACGGGAAAGGAGGACUUUUUUUUGCUCAUGCAAUUCACAUUUGAGAGUCCUUCAAUUUUCCCUUUUAAAAUGGGUACUCAAACGGUUCCGGCAGGGUACCAUUCUCAAAGAGUGCGGGUGGUCCUCCGUUCCCGUUGCCAUUGUCGUUGCCCUCCUUUCCCGUUCCCUUUCUCGUUGCCGUUGCCUUUACCUUUCCUGUUCCCUUUCCCUUUCCCGUUCCCGUUCCCGUUCCCUUUCCCGUUGCCGUUUCCGUUCCCUUUCCCGUUCCUUUUGCCUCCGCCGUUUGCCUCCUCCUUCGAUGGUACUAGAGGACGGAGAGGAGGAGACCCCUUUAGGAGUCCAUGUUUCGCGAAAUGGUUUGCGACCAAUUCUAGGUACUUAAUACGAGUUGUGUUCUCACCGGAUUGGGGAAGCAAGGUGCUUCUGAGUCUGCGGGCUGAAGCAACAGGUUUCACCCUUAAAACUUCUUUCAGACCACUCUCCUUAGCCUUAAAUAGUGCUCGACCGAAUUUCCAGACGAGAUCUGCACUGGCGGCGAUGAUGUUGACAUGGGAAAGCCAAUCCACAAUCCUGGGGGGUUAGCAGCCAUUAUUUUCCUAGCUCUCUGUUCGUUCUCUGGGUGGACGCAAAAUUAGAUGAUGUGUUUGGGGUGGGACGAGGAAAUGUCGUACUCCACAUUGACAUUUGGUUCUUUGGCGACAUCUGAGGCAUUGUCUUCUCCUAUUGCUCAUUGUUUCAUAAAAAUAUGAUUUUACGCAGCUUGUACAGCCAUACGUGAAGUUAUGGAGCAGCAGACUGUCAGCAUUGCCAAUGCUGGGAUCACUACGUCUUUGAAUGCACGAACUCCUGUUCUUGCUGCAGCUAAUCCAGCAUGGUACAUAUUUUCUAGUUCUUUUUAAUCUGGUUCAUUUGGGCAUUACUCUUUGUUGCUUCUCUUCUAAAUCAUAUUGCUCUAGUUAUGUGGUACCUUUUCUACUGGUGGAAGCUAACUUUCUUCGUGUAAAAUCUAUGCAAACUCUUACUAUGGUUGCUAUAUAUAUAUAAUUUUUUUUUUCUUGAAGGGGGAGAAAUGACCUGCGUAGAACUCCUGCUGAAAACAUUAAUCUUCAACUGGCCUUUUUGUCGAGAUUUGAUCUUUUAUGGUUAAUCCUGGACCAAGCUUUCUGGGAGUCAGAGUUUAGCUGGCUGACCAAGUUCUUUUACUCAGUCUCUGCCAAUAUCGUGAUUAUGUGGUGCACCCCAGUACUUAUAUCAACUCUCACGUUCGGGACUGCACUUUUGUUGGUUGUACGACUUGAUGCUGGGACAGUGUUCACAACCACAUCCAUCUUCAAAAUUCUUCAGGAGCCAAUCAGGACAUUCCCGCAAUCUAUGAUAUCAAUUUCUCAAGCUAUGAUAUCACUUGGGAGGCUGGAUCGUUUUAUGAAGAGUAGGGAAUUGUUGGAGGAUUCGGUGGAGAGGGUAGAAGGCGGUGAUAGUGGGAUUGCUGUUGAAGUUAAAGAUGGCGCGUUCAGCUGGGACUAUGAAAGCAAUGAAGAGGAUUUGAAAAAUAUAAAUAUAAAUUUAAUAAAGGUGAGCUAACGGCGAUUGUAGGGACAGUGGGAUCCGGAAAGUCUUCCCUUCUAGCUUCAAUUCUUGGUGAGAUGCACAAGUUAUCCGGAAAGGUAUAAUCUGAUACCAUUAAACCAUUUUCUAGAUGUCUCUUAUGAUGUAAAAUCGCUCCAUUGAAGCUUCAAUUCAAUCACUUUGUUAAAUUAACAAAAUCUUUGAAAACAGGUACGAGUUUGCGGGACAACUGCUUAUGUGGCUCAAACGUCAUGGAUUCAAAACGGAACCAUUGAAGAAAACAUCCUAUUUGGUUUGCCAAUGGACAGAGAGAGAUACCGGGAAGUAAUCAGGGUUUGUUUCUUGGAAAAGGACAUGGAAAUGAUGGAGUUCGGAGAUCAAACUGAGAUAGGAGAGCAUGGCAUCAACCUAAGUUGUGGCCAGAAACAGAGGAUUCAACUUGCUCGUGCUGUGUAUCAAAAUUGUGACAUAUAUCUCCUCGAUAACGUCUUCAGUGCUGUUGAUGCUCAUACUGGGUCAGAAAUAUUUAAGGUGACAUUACUUUAUAUUUUGUUCUACAUUUGGUAGUAAAGAAUGAUUUACUUUUGAUUUCACAGUGAUUGAAUAGUCUAGCUCACACUUAAAUUAGUGCUUAGAUGGCGGAUUUGAUCUUUGUAAUCUAAAGGUGUUGAAAGAAAAAUGGAAAAACAACGUUCUUGUUUAGAUCUUCGUAAUCUAAAAUGUCGCUCAUGCUUGUAAUGUCUAUGGCCUUCUGCAGGAAUGUGUGAGGGGAGCGCUUAAAAACAAGACAGUUUUACUUGUAACUCAUCAAGUUGACUUCUUGCAUAAUGUUGAUCUUAUUUUGGUAAGUAUUUAGAAUUGUUCAUGUAUUCUCGAAGAAAUUAUAAAUUCAAUUUGCUCAUGUAUCCCUCCCUACUUAUAUUUAUCAGGUAAUGAGAGGUGGGAUGAUAGUACAGGCAGGAAAGUAUAACGAUUUGCUAAAUUCUGGCCUGGAUUUCAAAGAGUUUGUUGCUGCCCACGAUACCUCCAUGGAACUUGUAGAAAUGAGCACCGCUGAUCCCAGCAAAAGUUCCCCUGGACCUCAAAUAUCUCGGCAACUCUCCUCAAAAUGCGGGGAAGGAAAUGGUGAAAACAACUCUUUGGACCAGCUGAAGUCUGAUAAAGCGACUUCUAAGCUCAUCAAAGAAGAGGAGAAAGAAACCGGCAAAGUCAGCCUUCACAUUUACAAAGUUUAUUGCACAGAGGCUUACGGAUGGUGGGGUGUGGUGUUAGUAUUGUCAUUGACUCUGAUGUGGCAAUCGUCUCAAAUGGCGGCUGAUUACUGGCUGUCUUAUGAAACUGCAGCAAAGCGUGCGGCAUCAUUCAAACCAUCUGUGUUUAUUAUCGUCUAUGCACUCAUUGCAUGUGUCGCAUUCGUUGCGGUAUUGAUAAGAGCACUUGCUGUGAUGUUUGUGGGGCUUAAAACAGCUCAAAC
rnacentral:lncRNA from 1 species